CUUGAUCCUCAGGAACUUCUCCUCAGUCCAUGCCAUCCUCUCUGCUCUGCAGAGCACCCUGAUCCAUCGACCGAAGAGGACGUGGAGAGAAGAUUCCAGGUGGAGACAGUCAAGUUGGCCACCCUGGAAUUGAACCACCAGAGAGUCCAGAUGAGGCAGUGGCAGCAGAAGAAGGUGGAUAUUUAAUUAUCUCAGCACAAUAUGUUGAGAAGACUGCUUUCCUCAAGGAGUUUUCUUGGCACUUUUGUCAAAAAUCAAUGACCAAAAAUGAAACAUUAUUUUUCUGGAACUUCAUGUCUUGUCCAUUUACCUAUAUGUCUACCCUUACUUAGUGUCAUUCUAUCUUGGAAACUGUACCUUUGUUAUUAGAUUUGCUUUUAGAAGAGUAAUCAUCUAAUUCCGAUUUUCUUUCUCAAGAUUGGUUUGGCUAUUCAGUUUUCUUUAAAUGACUAUAUGAAUUUUAGGAUUAUCUUGGAAAUGUCUGUUAAAAAGGCAAGUAGUACUUUGAAAUGACUUGUAUUGACUCAUUGAUCUUAAAAGUGUUGUGAUCAUAACUGUAUUGUCUUAUGAUUCAUGAAUAUUGAAUGCCUUUCAAUUUAUUUAGACUUUUUUGAUUUAUUUCAGCAGUUUUACAGUUUUUAGUUUACAAGUCCUCCACGUUUAUUU